rnacentral:rRNA from 1 species
UACGUAGGGUGCAAGCGUUGUCCGGAAUUAUUGGGCGUAAAGAGCUCGUAGGCGGUCUGUCGCGUCGGCUGUGAAAUCCCGAGGCUCAACCUCGGGUCUGCAGUCGAUACGGGCAAACUAGAGUAUUGCAGGGGAGACUGGAACUCCUGGUGUAGCGGUGAAAUGCGCAGAUAUCAGGAGGAACACCGGUGGCGAAGGCGGGUCUCUGGGCCGAUACUGACGCUGAGGAGCGAAAGCAUGGGGAGCGAACAGG